rnacentral:rRNA from 1 species
UGGGGAAUAUUGCACAAUGGGCGCAAGCCUGAUGCAGCCAUGCCGCGUGUAUGAAGAAGGCCUUCGGGUUGUAAAGUACUUUCAGUCGGGAGGAAGGUGGUAAGGUUAAUAACCUUGGCAAUUGACGUUACCGACAGAAGAAGCACCGGCUAACUCCGUGCCAGCAGCCGCGGUAAUACGGAGGGUGCAAGCGUUAAUCGGAAUUACUGGGCGUAAAGCGCACGCAGGCGGUUGAUUGAGUCAGAUGUGAAAUCCCCGGGCUUAACCCGGGAAUUGCAUCUGAUACUGGUCAGCUAGAGUCUUGUAGAGGGGGGUAGAAUUCCAUGUGUAGCGGUGAACUGCGUAGAGAUGUGGAGGAAUACCGGUGGCGAAGGCGGCCCCCUGGACAAAGACUGACGCUCAGGUGCGAAAGCGUGGGGAGCAAACAGG